GACGAACGCUGGCGGCGUGCUUAACACAUGCAAGUCGUACGGUAAGGCCCUUUCGGGGGUACACGAGUGGCGAACGGGUGAGUAACACGUGAGUAACCUGCCCACAACUUUGGGAUAACGCUAGGAAACUGGUGCUAAUACUGGAUAUGUGCUCCUGCUGCAUGGUGGGGGUUGGAAAGCUCCGGCGGUUGUGGAUGGACUCGCGGCCUAUCAGCUUGUUGGUGGGGUAGUGGCCUACCAAGGCGGCGACGGGUAGCCGGCCUGAGAGGGUGACCGGCCACAUUGGGACUGAGAUACGGCCCAGACUCCUACGGGAGGCAGCAGUGGGGAAUAUUGCACAAUGGGCGCAAGCGGACGCAGCAACGCCGCGUGCGGGAUGACGGCCUUCGGGUUGUAAACCGCUUUCAGCAGGGACGAAGCUUUUUGUGACGGUACCUGCAGAAGAAGCACCGGCUAACUACGUG
rnacentral:rRNA from 1 species